GGGGCCUCUGAAUUGCUGAUUGCACCACAUGUGUUUUUUAUUGAACAAAUUUCUUUGGUGGCGGGAGCAAUCCUACCGCCAGAGGUUAUAACUAAACCAAACUUUUUAUUUACAGUCAAACUUGAUUUAUUAUUACAAUAGUCAAAACUUUCAACAACGGAUCUCUUGGUUCUCGCAUCGAUGAAGAACGCAGCGAAAUGCGAUACGUAAUAUGAAUUGCAGAUAUUCGUGAAUCAUCGAAUCUUUGAACGCACAUUGCGCCCUUUGGUAUUCCAAAGGGCAUGCCUGUUUGAGCGUCAUUUCUCCCUCAAACCCCCGGGUUUGGUGUUGAGCAAUACGCUAGGUUUGUUUGAAAGAAUUUACGUGGAAACUUAUUUUAAGCGACUUAGGUUUAUCCAAAACGCUUAUUUUGCUAGUGGCCACCACAAUUUAUUUCAUAACUUUGACCUCAAAUCAGGUAGGACUACCCGCUGAACUUAAGCAUAUCAAUAAGCGGGAGAGAAA
rnacentral:rRNA from 1 species